rnacentral:ribozyme from 11 species
AAGAAAUAAUAAGUCAUCAACAAGAAGACAAUUCAACUGUAUUAGAUGGUUAUGUUCUCAUUGGAUUUCAUCAUUUUUUUUCCUUUUUACCUCCUUUAUUUAUAUAAAAAA